rnacentral:miRNA from 1 species
UUAGGAACAUGUGUGCUCUCUUGU